AAAAAAAAAAAAAAAAAAAGGAGUAACACAGAAAAAGAAUGUAUUUUUUGGGCAUGCAAGUAAUUUUAUUUGGAUAAGAAAUGGAAAAUGUAACAUUAUAUCCAUUCCUAUGGUUUUUAUGUUGUAUGAUGUUGUGUUUGAAUUUUACUAUGUUCUUUCUGCAUUGCCAAACUAAUAAAUAAAAUUAUCUGUAAGAGAGAAAUUGAUGUGAGAUUUUGCAGUUAUGCAUUUAGAGCACAUACAGAAUCAACUGAGUGCCUAAACCCCAUGAGGCUGAUGGUAAAGCCAAUCGAGUGGAUGGCCUGUUUUGGAAAAAUGCCAUUAAUGUGAAAAAUUGCUUUCCAUGUAAAAGCAUGUUGUGAACAGCAUAUGGCAUUCCUGUUUCCAUGCACUGUUGCCUGUUGAUGGACAAAAUUCUAUUUUGUUCAUGCAUUUUUUCUGACUUUUUGGAAAUUGUUUUCAUACGAUAUGAAUUUCUUCAACUGCAUUUGAAUCAGUUGAAUAAUAAUUGUUCAAUCAGUUCUUCAAGAAAGUGUGGUUUCUUUAAACCAUUAUCAAGCCGAGAGAAAUUUUUGUGCACACUGGAUAACAAAUUAUGUAGUGAGCUUGCCUAGUGGAACUCUAGUUUUGAAUCAUCCUUCUUUGGGUAUAUGAUGGUGUUGCUCCUUUUAGACAUUGGUUUGGUGAGCUUGGAUGUGCCAAUAAAUAUCAUUUUUCUUGGGGAUUUAAGCUGUAAAA
rnacentral:misc_RNA from 1 species